rnacentral:misc_RNA from 1 species
UCGCGGCUUAUCACCGGCAGUCCCCUUAGAGUGCCCAACUGAAUGCUGGCAACUAAGGGCGAGGGUUGCGCUCGUUGCGGGACUUAACCCAACAUCUCACGACACGAGCUGACGACAGCCAUGCAGCACCUGUGUUCCCGCCAGCCGAACUGAAGAGCUCCAUCUCUGGAACCCACACGGGACAUGUCAAGGGUCGGUAAGGUUCUGCGCGUUGCUUCGAAUUGAACCACAUGCUCCACCGCGCGGGCCCCCGUCAAUUCCUUUGAGUUUUAAUCUUGCGACCGUACUCCCCAGGCGGGAUGCUAGCCGUUGGCGAGCUUGCUCGUCAGUGGCGCAGCUAACGCUUUAAGCAUCCCGCC